AUAAAAAUAUAAUCUCAAAGCUAUAUUCCUUCCCUGUGCCACUGUGAUUGCUUUUGCCUGCUGAAUUAAGCAAUUUAAAUAUAUUUUAACUUAAUAUUUUAUUAA